UUAAGUUCAGCGGGUUUUCUUGCCCGAUUUCAGACCAAGUUAUCAGCGAGCUCUGCAAACUGCAGGGCCCCGGUUGACAAGUUGAGUCCCAUGCCUCCAAGUCAGCCAGCUGAUGACCAAAACGAAUAGAUGAAUCUGUUGCGCUUCGGACGACCAGUUGACACGACAAUUGGCGCACGUCACAAUCAUUUAUAGAUGCA
rnacentral:misc_RNA from 1 species